ACAAAAUAUUCCGCAUGCAUCAAACCCCGUGGUGCACGCAAUAACGCACGCAUUCUCUUGCAAUCCUCUCUUUCGUUUGUGACGCACACGCAACACGCGCAAUUUUAAUUGUAAUACUAUGCUGAUGCCCGCGACUUCGUCCGCGUGGAUUUAGAUUUUUUAA